CGGAUAGAGGUUGCGGCUUUUAUCAGUACCCCGGCUCCUAUGGAAGCACCCGCCGGACCGGGGGAAAGGAAACGCCGCCGAAGGAAGGCCGCAGGGCAGCGGUUUUCCUGAUGGUGCGCUGAACAAGCGUAUCAUUGUCAUCAUAGAGUAUGAUGGAGCGCUAUC
rnacentral:ncRNA from 1 species